UACAUGUGGGGCAAGCGUUGUUCGGAAUUACUGGGCGUAAAGCGCGCGUAGACGGUUUUGUAAGUCAGAUGUGAAAUCCCUGGGCUCAACCUGGGAACUGCAUUUGAGACUGCAUGGCUAGAGUAUGGAAGAGGGAAGUGGAAUUUCCGGUGUAGCGGUGAAAUGCGUAGAUAUCGGAAGGAACACCAGUGGCGAAAGCGACUUCCUGGUCCAAUACUGACGUUCAUGUGCGAAAGCGUGGGGAGCAAACAGG
rnacentral:rRNA from 1 species